GAAGCUGGAAUCGCUAGUAAUCGCGAAUCAGCAUGUCGCGGUGAAUACGUUCCCGGGUCUUGUACGCACCGCCCGUCACACCAUGGGAGUCGGAAAUGCCCGAAGUCUGUGACCUAACCGUAAGGAAGGAGCAGCCGAAGGCAGGUCGGAUGACUGGGGUGAAGUCGUAACAAGGUAAC
rnacentral:rRNA from 1 species